ACGGGGAGGAGCCCAGAGCCUGAAUCAGUGUGUGUGUUAGUGGAAGCGUCUGGAAAGGCGUGCGAUACAGGGUGACAGCCCCGUACACAAAAAUGCACAUAUUGUGAGCUCGAUGAGUAGGGCGGGACACGUGGUAUCCUGUCUGAAUAUGGGGGGACCAUCCUCCAAGGCUAAAUACUCCUGACUGACCGAUAGUGAACCAGUACCGUGAGGGAAAGGCGAAAAGAACCCCGGCGAGGGGAGUGAAAAAGAACCUGAAACCGUGUACGUACAAGCAGUGGGAGCCUCUUAAUGGGGUGACUGCGUACCUUUUGUAUAAUGGGUCAGCGACUUAUAUUCUGUAGCAAGGUUAACCGAAUAGGGGAGCCGAAGGGAAACCGAGUCUUAACUGGGCGUUAAGUUGCAGGGUAUAGACCCGAAACCCGGUGAUCUAGCCAUGGGCAGGUUGAAGGUUGGGUAACACUAACUGGAGGACCGAACCGACUAAUGUUGAAAAAUUAGCGGAUGACUUGUGGCUGGGGGUGAAAGGCCAAUCAAACCGGGAGAUAGCUGGUUCUCCCCGAAAGCUAUUUAGGUAGCGCCUCGUGAAUUCAUCUCCGGGGGUAGAGCACUGUUUCGGCAAGGGGGUCAUCCCGACUUACCAACCCGAUGCAAACUGCGAAUACCGGAGAAUGUUAUCACGGGAGACACACGGCGGGUGCUAACGUCCGUCGUGAAGAGGGAAACAACCCAGACCGCCAGCUAAGGUCCCAAAGUCAUGGUUAAGUGGGAAACGAUGUGGGAAGGCCCAGACAGCCAGGAUGUUGGCUUAGAAGCAGCCAUCAUUUAAAGAAAGCGUAAUAGCUCACUGGUCGAGUCGGCCUGCGCGGAAGAUGUAACGGGGCUAAACCAUGCACCGAAGCUGCGGCAGCGACACUAUGUGUUGUUGGGUAGGGGAGCGUUCUGUAAGCCUGUGAAGGUGGCCUGUGAGGGUUGCUGGAGGUAUCAGAAGUGCGAAUGCUGACAUAAGUAACGAUAAAGCGGGUGAAAAGCCCGCUCGCCGGAAGACCAAGGGUUCCUGUCCAACGUUAAUCGGGGCAGGGUGAGUCGACCCCUAAGGCGAGGCCGAAAGGCGUAGUCGAUGGGAAACAGGUUAAUAUUCCUGUACUUGGUGUUACUGCGAAGGGGGGACGGAGAAGGCUAUGUUGGCCGGGCGACGGUUGUCCCGGUUUAAGCGUGUAGGCUGGUUUUCCAGGCAAAUCCGGAAAACCAAGGCUGAGGCGUGAUGACGAGGCACUACGGUGCUGAAGCGACAAAUGCCCUGCUUCCAGGAAAAGCCUCUAAGCAUCAGGUAACAUCAAAUCGUACCCCAAACCGACACAGGUGGUCAGGUAGAGAAUACCAAGGCGCUUGAGAGAACUCGGGUGAAGGAACUAGGCAAAAUGGUGCCGUAACUUCGGGAGAAGGCACGCUGAUAUGUAGGUGAAGCGACUUGCUCGUGGAGCUGAAAUCAGUCGAAGAUACCAGCUGGCUGCAACUGUUUAUUAAAAACACAGCACUGUGCAAACACGAAAGUGGACGUAUACGGUGUGACGCCUGCCCGGUGCCGGAAG
rnacentral:rRNA from 1 species